rnacentral:misc_RNA from 1 species
GAGCGUCAUUACAACCCUCAAGCAAUGCUUGGUGUUGGGCCCUGUCGCUAAUCUGGCAAGUCCUAAAAUCAGUGGCGGUGCUGCUGGGCCCCUAAGCGUAGUAACCUAUCUCGCUACAGGGUCCUGGUAGAUGCUUGCCAUCAACCCCUAAAUUUUUAAUAGUUGACCUCGGAUCAGGUAGGGAUACCCGCUGAACUUAA